rnacentral:rRNA from 1 species
UACGUAGGGUGCGAGCGUUGUCCGGAAUUAUUGGGCGUAAAGAGCUCGUAGGCGGUGUGUCGCGUCGGCCGUGAAAACCUGGGGCUCAACUCUGGGCGUGCGGUCGAUACGGGCAUCACUUGAGUUUCGGCAGGGGGAGACUGGAAUUCCUGGUGUAGCGGUGAAAUGCGCAGAUAUCAGGAGGAACACCGGUGGCGAAGGCGGGUCUCUGGGCCGAUACUGACGCUGAGGAGCGAAAAGCCAUGGGGUAGCGAACAGG